GGGAGGACAGUUUAUACCUUCAGUUCACUGGAGCUACUUGAUUGCAGACUAACUGAAUGGUCUCUGGAAAGAUUAGGCAAGGCUGCAGGCAUCAGCUACCUCACCACUCUCUGCCUGGACUACACAUGCAUGGGACAGGAAGGGUUGAAAGGUUUGCUGACUGGUGGUUGGGGGCCAGUCAAAUAUCUUCCCUGAGUUUGUGAUAUUGUGGUUGGAGUUCAUGGAGCGGAGCUCUGCUAGCUUCACUCCUCACCAACAAUUCUGUUAGGUACGGAUUGUUACAACCAUUGAUGCUUAUGUUUUUCAUUAACCUAUGAGUCUCUGUGACUCCUGGGAUCCAUCAGCUUCUGCAGAAACAUUUCAUCACAUAUUAAUUCAUGAAUGUGAGCUUCAGCCGAUGACUGCUUACAGCUGACGACAUCUUUCUGGUCCACAGGGGUUUUAUGAGUUGAUAUGAGUAACAGGGCCCUCUCUUAUGUGGGCUUAAAGAAAGGCUAUUUUGACAAUCCACUAGAUCAGCCGCACACUUUCCACCACUCU
ensembl:lncRNA